rnacentral:tRNA from 1 species
AGUAAGAUCAGCUAAUUAAGCUCUUGGGCCCAUACCCCAAAUAUGUUGGUUAAAAUCCUUCUUUUACUA